rnacentral:rRNA from 1 species
GACAGAGGAUGCAAGCGUUAUCCGGAAUGAUUGGGCGUAAAGCGUCUGUAGGUGGCUUUUUAAGUCCGCCGUCAAAUCCCAGGGCUCAACCCUGGACAGGCGGUGGAAACUACCAAGCUGGAGUACGGUAGGGGCAGAGGGAAUUUCCGGUGGAGCGGUGAAAUGCGUAGAGAUCAUUUGGAACGCCAAUGGUGAAAACAAGUAGCUGGGGAUGUGCUGACGCUGAGACACGAAAGCCAGGGGAGCAAACGGG